rnacentral:lncRNA from 1 species
UUUUUUACGAUAAGACUUUAGGGUUUUAUCAUUUGGUAUCAGAGCGGCGAUCCUUGGCGUUCUCGCUGCAACGUAACAAAAAAAAAAAACAAAAAAAAAGGGAGAAAAGGGUUGUUACCCAGCGACCACCGAGAAUUCCUUGCUUCCCUUCUUCCCCACAGCCGCCCCUGCUCUCCGGCAGGCUACGCCCUCCCUUGCUGCCUCCUUUCCAC